GUGUUACUUCUCGUUCAUCUGUGGGUGGGGAUUGGGUGCAUUACUUGCAUUUUAUAUAUAUAGUAUUGCACUUGUCCCGGCCUAUGGAAGAAAGGAGGAUAUUAUCGUUA
rnacentral:pre_miRNA from 1 species